GAUGAACGCUGGCGGCGUGCCUAAUACAUGCAAGUCGAGCGAACGGACGAGUAGCUUGCUUCUCUGAUGUUAGCGGCGGACGGGUGAGUAACACGUGGAUAACCUACCUAUAAGACUGGGAUAACUUCGGGAAACCGGAGCUAAUACCGGAUAAUAUUUUGAACCGCAUGGUUCAAAAGUGAAAGACGGUCUUGCUGUCACUUAUAGAUGGAUCCGCGCUGCAUUAGCUAGUUGGUAAGGUAACGGCUUACCAAGGCAACGAUGCAUAGCCGACCUGAGAGGGUAAUCGGCCACACUGGAACUGAGACACGGUCCAGACUCCUACGGGAGGCAGCAGUAGGGAAUCUUCCGCAAAGGGCGAAAGCCUGACGGAGCAACGCCGCGUGAGUGAUGAAGGUCUUCGGAUCGUAAAACUCUGUUAUUAGGGAAGAACAUAUGUGUAAGUAACUGUGCACAUCUUGACGGUACCUAAUCAGAAAGCCACGGCUAACUACGUG
rnacentral:rRNA from 1 species